AUUGGUCUAUUGAUAAAAAUUAAAAAUGUCACCCAUGGUAACAAAGAUAAAGGAUAUGGCCACUCACAUAAUUAUCAAUAAAAAUAUAAAUUGUUGCAUUCAGUCUGAAGAAAAAUUUUUCUCUAUGUGUAUAAAUAAAGCCCUAUUUUUAAAAAUAUUUUUAUGACCACACCGGCAACAUAUGGGAGUUCUCAGGUCAGGGGUCAAAUCGGAGCUGUAGCUGCCAGCCUACACCACAGCCACAGGAAUGACAGAUCCAAGCCACCUCUGUGACUUACACCACAGCUCCUGGCGAUGCCAGAUCCUUAACCCACUGAUCAAGGCCAGGGAUCGAACCUGCACCUUUAUGGAAACUAGUCAGAUUUGUUUCCACUGAGCCAUAGUGGGAACUUCUGCAUGAUUCUUUUAUUUUUUUAUUAUUUAUUUAUUUAUUUUGUUUUCUUGCCUUUUCUAGGACCGCUUUCUGUGGCACAUGGAGGAUCCCAGGCUAGGGGUUCAACUGGAGCUGUAGCCAUCAGCCUACACCAGAGCCAUAGCAACAUGGGAUCUGAGCUGCAUCUGCAACCCACACCACAGCUCACAGCAAUGCCGGAUCCUUAACCCACUGAGCAAGGCCAGGGAUCGAACCCGCAACACCAUGGUUCCUAGUCGGAUUUGUUAACCACUGCACCACGACGGGAACUCCUGCAUGAUUCUUUUAAAUCAAGAAGGGAACUGAAUAUGGGGAGGAACAGGAGAGGCUGUCUGGAAGUUGGUGCCUUUAAUGUUUCACUGUGCAUAAAUCUGUAAAGUUUAGCUAUUUAAUGAUACCAAUGUUGUUGUAUAUUAAGUCCAUAAUAUGCUAAUGCUUUUGUGUAUGUUGAAGACUUUCGCAUUACUAUGUCUAGUUUUGACCUCUCCCUUGGCUCCAGAUGUAUACACACUUCAUGAAAGGAUGUAACUUUUAUUCCAUUUUAAAUAAUAAAUUAUUUUAAAUAAUUUAUAGACGCAUUGCCACUAUAAUGCAUGCACACAUACAUACUUGCAGGAAUAGUCUAGGGACAGAUUUUUAAAUUAGAUUAAUUUGGCAAGUAACCUAACAAGGCACUUUUUACAUAUCGUUCACCACAUCAGUACUCUAUUCUCCAAUUACACUGUCCUGGGAACUCCCUAGGUGGUUAAAAUAUGAAGAAAAUGGUACUGAGCACCAUUACUGCUAAUGGAAAAGGGAGGAAACAACAUCAAUGGAAUCUCAGGGAUGCUGCACCCCGAGUCAGGAGGACAAACCAUUAAGAAAUGCCUUAAAAACACGUUCUCUUUGGACAGUAUUGUUCUGAGAAUACAUUGCUUGAGCUUCUGUUGUUGAGACGUAGCACUACUGAUAACAAUCAAAUCAAAGUCAUUGGAACUAAUUGGUACGAAAUAUUCGGCAUGAACAUUUUACUUAGUUUAAGACUUAAAUGGGUAUUUGGAAAAAUCUUUUUAUUGCUACUCUUAUUAAGCCUCUAAUCAUUCCAUUAACAUUUAUUGAGUGCCGGCACUUGAGCAGCUGCAAUCACACCUGCUCUUAGAAAACUUUUUUUUUCCAAAGUAUUUGCUCUAUUUAAAGCUCUGCAUUUUAUAAUGAGUUUAAUGCACUUAAAGAGAGAGCAUGCAAAACGCAGAUAAUCUGUAAGUGGAGUUAUUAUUGCCAUAUAAAGAUGUAUAAUGUGUUCCAUAUUAACACCUGCACGUUUUGCCCUAGAAUUUUUCAACUCUGUGCCCUUGUGAUUUUCCCUUCCCAAGAAAACUCCAUGCCAGAGAAUCACAUUACCAUUUACUUGGCGGCCUUGAGACUGGGGCCUCCAAAAGUAGGCAGAGCUCGUUCUUGGCUGGGAGCCCAGCGGGACCUGGAAGGAGGAAGUAAGAGUCACUAACUUUGAAGAGACCCAAGGCUCCUCAGGGCCAAUUCCACAAUGGAGCAUGGUGGUACUUAACCACCAGGAAUAGACCAAAGGCCACUCUGGGCCAGUUCCUUUGCUUAACUCAAUUUUUAUUCCAUGCCUAAUGGAUGUACCAAGGGACUUGAAGGGAAGAUCAUGAUUUUCUUUGUAAUAAAUAACCCUCUUCUGAAUUACGUGGGCAUGAGAGAUGAACAUAGUCAAAGACCAAAAGUACCUUGCAACUGCUAACUCUGUGACCUUGGGCAAGGUGCUCAGUCAACCUGAGACUCAAUUUCCUCACCUGCCAAAGGAAGCUAAUGAUAGCUGCCCUACCUUCUCUGAUGUGCAGUGAUGCCCUAUAUAAUUAAUUUAGCAGAUAAGAAUUGAGCUUGGCUUUGUAUGUGCUCGACUCAGUAAAAGAAAGCAAGGACGCAACAUGAAUAAAACAUAUCCCUAGCCCAAAAGAAGUAGCUUACAGUUCAUCAGGAGAGACAAACAGGUUAACUAAUGGUGCCAGAGGGCGGGGACAUGGUGAUAAAGCUACAGGCUGUAUAAUAUAGGAGGCUUAAAUGAGGAAUAAUUAAUUCUGCUGUGAGAGGGAGAGGUAGGAGGGAAGAAGCUUUACAGAAAGGAUGAUUUUUUAGCAUCACCUUGAGAAAUGAGUAGGAGUUUGCCAGGUAGAGGAGUUGAAGGACGUUGCACAGAGUGAAGAGCAAUCAAUAAAGAAACUGCACGGUGGAGUGGGAAAGGAAGAAAAUGUGUACAUUUCAUGACAAGCAUGCAAGCGGUCUGCUGUCUGCCGAGCGGUACUCAUGGGUAAGGUGGCAUCACUGUCAGAGCCACAACGAAGUUGGCUGAGAGCAGAACUCAUUUCUCUUCCUUCUCAUGCGCUGGGCAUAGUUACUGGUCUGGUAUUCAUGACCUCUUUUUUUGGUGCCGUUUUGCUAAUUUUUGUACUUAUGAAAGUUAAUAUAUACAUGUAGUUUGAAAAAGUCAAGUAGCACUGAAAGUCUUAAAAACACUUCACUCCCAACUCCCAUUUCCCCCAAAUUGCUUCCAAUUAUUAUGACUAUUCCUUAUGGUGUUUCUAAGUGAUAUAUCUGGACCAUGCUUAUUUUUUAUUUUGCUUUGAGAUAUCGUCAAUUGACUUCUUAUUAUGAAAAAUACACUUUUAACCCUCUUUCUCCAUCACCCCAUUACAUUUUGUCAGCCCUAUGUACGGAAAGCAGUUAUGUAACAAUUCUCUCUUAAGUCAUUAAUUGGCAUUUAUAAAUUACAGCUACAUAAAUAUAGUUCAAAGGUGAGCCUUCCUGUGUACUGUUGUAUAUUGUGACAUCAUUUUCCUCCUUGUAUGAUUCUAUUAAUUUGCUCCUCUUACAAAUGCCUUGAUUAUUUUGGUUUGGGUUUCUGUGUGUUCAUAUUUAAUUAUCCUCUCUAUAAAUAGAUAAUGGAAGUGUGAAACUCCUUUAAAUAGGGACAAACACAUAAGACCUUUCAUUUUUUUCUUUGUCUUUUUUAAGGAUGAGCAGAAAAUACAUCUUCUUUUCCAUUUUAGCCCUGCUUAAACUGGAAAUUUCUCUCAGUUGGGUCUUAUGUGGAAUGUCUUGUUUCCUGGAUUACAUGACUUCUCCUUUUUAGAGGAAACUCCCUUGUUUGGGGGAUUUUCUUUCCAGAUUACUUUCCUAGAGUAUAAAGAAAAUGAUUAUGUUUUUAAGAUAUCAAGGACUUGAGAAUUUCUUUAUUUUUACCCUUAAUUUUGACUGACAGUUUCCAAACAAUAAUUUUCUGGUUUGGAAACUCCUUCUACUCAGAAUGUGAAAGUCUUUCUCCGUUGUAUUCAAGCUUCUCACGUGGGGUGACCAUGAAGAUGUACGGUUCUGAUCUUCCAGAGAGAAAGAACGUGCAUUUGCCCUGGGAUUGCAGCAACAUUGUGAUCACCGUGACAUUGGGGAGGUGCACUUUUUCCCCGGGUGUUCCAGCCAAGGAGUGAGCUUGGUGAAAUCAUAGGGUCUGUCCAUUUCUCCCCAAAAAGCAGGAGUCCUUCGAUGAGCAGUCUUUUCUGGGAAGUUCUCCUUUGGGUCAGCUGAGACCUUGUUGGAUCUGUAUUAUGGUAUGAGGUUCUUACCCAUCUCUACCUCCUCCCCUCUUCCUUUCACAGGUGGCAAAUUUGCACCGUGGUCUUACGGUUGUAGAGACUUUUUUUGUAAAGUCCUCAUUUUCAGCCCCUAGCCUUAUUCUACCCUCCAUUUUGCCUCUUGUACUUAAGUCAAGGCAAUUAGGACUCAGCAUUACCCAUUCACUCUUCUAAUUCAUCUACUAUGUACCCAUGAGCUUUUCUUCUUACAAAAUAUUGUUGACAACUCUUGUCUGCCAAAUCACUAUAAUGAAGACCUAGAUACUUAUUUUUAUCAUGCAGAUAGAUAGUGCUACUUUAGUGCUGCUUGAGUUUUUCAAACUACAUGUAUAUAUUAACUUUCAUAAGUAAAAAGUUUAGCAAAACGGUACAAAAAAGAGGUCAUGAAUAUCAGACCUUCUAUCAUGCAGAAGUCACAGAGUUGAUUCCUUCUCUAGCUCUAGUAGUUGCUCUCCAGCUAAGAGACCAACCUUAGACCUAUUCACUUAAGUUCAUGUCUCUUUCUGGUACAUGCAUCCAAUUACUGGUUAAUGCGUGGUUGCAAAAACCAUGUCUCCAUUAGGUAAAAUUUAUGGGAUCUUCCUAGCUCCAGAAGUUCCCAUAGGAUCAACUGAAUUCUUUAUUUGAAAUUAGAACCAUUGGUCAAUCUCUCCUGUGCUCAAUACUUACUUCCUUAUAGGUUUUGAUCCCAAGGGAACUCCUUAAUAAACUUUUUAUCACACAAAUCUCCAUCUUAGAGUCUUUUUUUUUCCCAUAAGGAACAUGAACUUAUAACACAUCUCCAUUCUCAAUGUCUUUGUUCUUUUGAUUUAUACCUUUUGAAAGCAUUUUCAUGCAUUUUAGUGGGGUUUUAGGAGAGUCAAUUCAUGCAUUGAAUCUGCCAUGGUUAAAAGUUUGAUCUACCCCAACUGUCCCAGUUACAAAGAAUAACCAAUGGCCUUUUUGUUCCUCUAUUUAUGAGCUUUAAGAGGAGUUGUGAUCAAACUAGAGGAGUGAUAUUCUCAAAAUCCAUAAUUAGCGCUCUUACAAACAUAGGGAACUGGCAUUUCUAGUAGCAGGAGAAACAGAAGGAUGAAUUGUUCAUGGUUCCUGUUUUUCGUCUUUUUUUUUUUUUUUUUUUUUAAUGGCAAAGAGUCUAAAUCCCUGAUCAGCAGCUUACCAGGAACUUCUUAGCUCUCUAUGGGCACAAGAAUGUGGAAAUUUAAGAAAAAAAAUAUGUACUCUUUAUUAAGAGCUCAAACUUCAGCCCAGAUAUCUAUUUGAUCUUUUCCUUGGAGAUAUAGUGGAACUAUGCUCUUUAGGAGUAAGCUCUUCCAUUCUCUUUAGUGUCUGCUUAGUAGUGACCCUGGCUGGAGCAGCUGAACCAUGUUGUUUUCCCAUGGACUCCUGCUUGGACCUCCUUGCUAGGUCCUGCUAAUUUCAAUGUUGCAAAACUUUCUUCCAAAAAAGACAAAGCUCCAGGUCUCUCUACUCACCAUGAAAACAGAUGAAAGGGAGUGGGUACAGAGAAACUUCUCUUCUCAGAUGUAUCUAUAUCCCCUUCUUGCCUUUCUAUUAAAUAAAUCUUCUGAAAGAUUGUCUACCUAUAGAGUCUUAAGGAAUUCACUUUGUCCUUGAUCCUCCACACAGACUUUUGUUUACCAGAAUGGAGCAUGGGGAAAGUUCUUGCUCAAUCCUUUAGGCUAGAAUGCAAACAAAUGCACACAAAUGCAUAACAAAUAUAUAUGCUCGGUUCAUUGUCAGUUUGAGAGAGUCAGAUGUACUUCAACAUAGAUCUUGCUUUUAUCACAAGAAUUUUCCCUAGAAUAGGAGUGCAACUUGGUCCAUAAGAGAAAGAAUCAGAGUGGUUGACAGAGCAGUGAUGCCUUCUGAAUAGAGUUGGCGUUGUGAGAAUCAAUAUAGGCUGGGAAGAAGGAUAUGGAAAGUUUCCAGUUCUUAGAACUGCUCUCCCAGAGAUGGGUGACUUACACAGCAGAAGAAUGAAUUGUUUCAAUCCAAGCUGGUAUGGUGAUACUUCUGUGACAUUUCAUUAGUACAUUAACUGACCUAGUACUGUUCAAAAGGAAGUUCAAUCAGAUAUUCAGACCAACAACAAACAAAGGUUUUGGUUACUUCUUCAUCAUGUCUGAAUUUCACUGAUCUUUUGUACCAUAAUGUAAUGAGAGCCUUUUAUGAAAAUUGAUGGAGGAGUUCCUGUUAUGGUGCAGCAGAAACAAAUCUGACUAGUAUCCACGAGGAUAAGGGUUUGAUUCCUGGCCUUGACAAGUGGGUCGGGGAUCCAGCAUUGAGGUGAGCUGUGGUAUAGCUAGUAGACACAGCUCAGAUCCCAAGUGGCUGUGGUGGUGGCAUAGGCUGAAAGCUGCAGCUCUGAUUCAACCCCUAGCCUGGGAAUUUCCAUAUCCUGUGAGUGUGGCCCUAAA
rnacentral:lncRNA from 1 species